AAAGUCGUAACAAGGUUUCCGUAGGUGAACCUGCGGAAGGAUCAUUACAGUGAUAGUAUCGGCCUGGAAACUGCGCUGGCAGCCGGGCCGCAUUACUAGCCAUCCUUGUGCUGUGUCAUGUUGUAUGGAUGCUUCACCUUUACGGUGUGGCGUCCUGCUUUUUACUACACUUUAACCAUAUUUUCUUAUACUCUGCUCGCAAGAGCACAAACAAUCGAAAACUGCCAGCAAUGGAUCACUCGGUUCUC
rnacentral:misc_RNA from 1 species